CCUACGGGUGGCUGCAGUGGGGAAUAUUGGACAAUGGGGGCAACCCUGAUCCAGCCAUGCCGCGUGAGUGAUGAAGGCCUUAGGGUUGUAAAGCUCUUUCACCCGGGACGAUAAUGACGGUACCGGGAGAAGAAGCCCCGGCUAACUUCGUGCCAGCAGCCGCGGUAAUACGAAGGGGGCUAGCGUUGUUCGGAAUCACUGGGCGUAAAGCGCACGUAGGCGGACCGUUAAGUCGGAGGUGAAAUCCUGGGGCUCAACCCCAGAACUGCCUUCGAUACUGGCGGGCGCGAGUCCGGAAGAGGUGAGUGGAACUGCCAGUGUAGAGGUGAAAUUCGUAGAUAUUGGCAAGAACACCAGUGGCGAAGGCGGCUCACUGGUCCGGUACUGACGCUGAGGUGCGAAAGCGUGGGGAGCAAACAGGAUUAGAUACCCCAGUAGUC
rnacentral:rRNA from 1 species